GUCAUCUAGUAAGUACACUUGUUUCCUGACUUCUGUGAGGCAAGCUAGCAAAGUAAGCAAAUCGGAGGACGGGAGCCUGGGAAGCUCAGAUUUAUAGCCGAUCUGACAGAAGCACAGGUGAAAACCUGGGUUUGCACUUGGUGCCUGACGUAGGGGAGGCAGCUUGUAGGACUAAGCCUGCACCCCUCCGUGUCUGCCACUAUCUCCAGUGUCAGAGUUAAGUUAAAUCGUAGGACAGUCAGCUGGUAUCACAGAAUUGUUUGCAGUAUGGAAAAUCUACACAUUUGGUUUCAGAAGUGAUGUAGUAGAGAAUCAGAAUUAGAGGAGACACAUGGGAGCUGUGUCUUCUCUAAGUUCUUAACACCAGAGUCUUGGAUUAAUUGGUUUCAGGUGAGGCCCAGGUACCCAGAAAAAUCUGAUGCUCAACACAGUUGAGAAGCCGCUUAGAUUGGAUAUCCUGGUUCGGGUCUUAUUCUCCCAGCUCUGUCAUUCCUCCAGGACAAAUCCAAUUAAAAGCUCAUCAUUUCUGCACUUGAGCUCUUCUUUGACCCAGUCUCCACUUCAAGGUAAAGAGAAGCGGACACUAUGUGGAAGAUCACCAAGUAUGUGAGACAGACUUUGGGAAGAGUAACAGAGAAGGAAGGAAAAGACCAAUUUCCUAUUCUCAAGCAAGCAAGCUUUAUUCUUUCAACAAACUUUGAGAUCCUACUAUAUGUUCACAUCAGAAACCUGAGGAAAGCAGAACUUGAUACGGACUCGUACAUACGAAAUCAAGGAUAAAAAUCUGAAUAUGAAACAAAUUUAUGGUUACCAAAGGGGAAAGGUGGGGGAGACAGACAAGUUGGGAGUUUGAGAUUGACAUGUACACAUGACUAUAUUUAAAAUAGAUAACCAGCAAGGAUCUACUGUAUAGCAUGGGAAACUGCUCAAUAUUCUAUAAUAACCUAAAUGGGAAAAAAAUUUGAAAAAGAAUAGAUAUAUGUAUAUGUAAUGACUGAAUUGCUUCGCUGUUCACCUGAAACACAGCACUGUAAAUCAACUACAGUCCAAUAAAAAAAUAAAAAUUAAAAAAAACA
rnacentral:lncRNA from 1 species